GGUUAGCGGGGGAAGGGUGAGUAACCCGUAGGGAACCUGGCCGUAAGACCGGGAUUACUACCGGAAACGGGAGCUAAUACCGGAAAAUUUUUUCCUUCCCAUGGAGCGGUAAUGAAAAAAGGAGCAAUCUGUCCCUUACGGAUGGGCCUGGGGGGCAUUAACUUGGUGGGGAGGUAACGGCUCCCCAAGGGGACCAUGCGUAGCCCAACUGGAAGGGGGAACGGGCCCCCUGGGACUGAAAACCGGGCCAAAAUCCCACGGGAGGCAGCAGUAGGGAAUCUUCCCCAAUGGGCGAAAGCCUGACGGAACAACCCCCCGGGAGUGAUGAAGGGUUUCGGAACCUAAAGCUUUGUUGCCAGGGAAAAACCUCGGGUAAAAUAACUGCUUUCCGAGUGACGGUACCUGAAAAAAAAGCCCCG
rnacentral:rRNA from 1 species